rnacentral:tRNA from 1 species
GGGGUCCUGGUCAUAGCACUGAAAGCCACUCAUAAUCCCUCGGUCGCGGGUUCGAGUCCCGCCCGCCCCACCA